CAGCCCUCCCCUGUCUCGACGUGGCUCCGCCACUGGUCAUGACCACUAGAUUUGUUAAGUUAAAUAAUAACUUGCAUGGUAUUAUUGUUCAAGAAUAGUACCAGCUUCUUUCUUAACCAUACUUCUAUUAUUCUAUACACAUGCAGGGUUUUCUGUCUGCAUUUUGAUUCAGAUGCAAAUGAUCUUGAUGUUUUGAAUCAUGGAAGCAUUCUUGUAUGUGUGAUACUCAACCGUUGCUACUUGGUAAGGAUAGUUUCGAC
rnacentral:lncRNA from 1 species